rfam:Geobacter pickeringii strain G13, complete genome.
GCCGUUGUGGCUCAGGGGUAGAGCAGCUCACUCGUAAUGAGCAGGUCGUCGGUUCGAUUCCGACCAACGGCU